rnacentral:rRNA from 1 species
GGGUCCGAGUUGUAAUUUGCAGAGGGCGCUUUGGCAUUGGCAGCGGUCCAAGUUCCUUGGAACAGGACGUCACAGAGGGUGAGAAUCCCGUACGUGGUCGCUAUCCUUUGCUGUGUAAAGCCCCUUCGACGAGUCGAGUUGUUUGGGAAUGCAGCUUCUAAAUGGGAGGUAAAUUUCUUCUAAAGCUAAAUACUGGCCAGAGACCGAUAGCGCACCAAGUAGAGUGAUCGAAAGAUGAAAAGCACUUUGGAAAGAGAGUCAAAUAGCACGUGAAAUUGUUGAAAGGGAAGCGCUUGCAGCCAGACUUGCCUGUAGUUGCUUAUCUGGACUUUUGUCCAGUGCACUCUUCUGCAGGCAGGCCAGCAUCAGUUUGGGCGGUUGGAUAAAGGUCUCUGUCAUGUACCUCUUUUCGGGGAGGCCUUAUAGGGGAGACGACAUGCAACCAGCCCAGACUGAGGUCCGCGCAUCUGCUAGGAUGCUGGCGUAAUGGCUGUAAGCGGCCCGUCUUGAAACACGGACCAAGGAGUCUAACAUCUAUGCGAGUGUUUGGGUGUCAAGCCCAGACGCGUAAUGAAAGUGAACGGAGGUGGGAACCCUUUGGGUGCACCAUCGACCGAUCCUGAUGUCUUCGGAAGGAUUUGAGUAAGAGCAUGGCUGUUGGGACCCGAAAGAUGGUGAACUAUGCUUGAAUAGGGUGAAGCCAGAGGAAACUCUGGUGGAGGCUCGCAGCGGUUCUGACGUGCAAAUCGAUCGUCAAAUUUGGGCAUAGGGGCGAAAGACUAAUCGAACUAUCUAGUAGCUGGUUCCUGCCGAAGUUUCCCUCAGGAUAGCAGUAACGUAUUCAGUUUUAUGAGGUAAAGCGAAUGAUUAGAGGCCUGGGGGUUGAAACAACCUUCACCUAUUCUCAAACUUUAAAUAUGUAAGAAGUCCUUGUUACUUGAUUGAACGUGGACAUUUGAAUGUACCGUUACUAGUGGGCCAUUUUUGGUAAGCAGAACUGGCGAUGCGGGAUGAACCGAACGCGGGGUUAAGGUGCCAGAAUAUACGCUCAUCAGACACCACAAAAGGUGUUAGUUCAUCUAGACAGCAGGACGGUGGCCAUGGAAGUCGGAAUCCGCUAAGGAGUGUGUAACAACUCACCUGCCGAAUGAACUAGCCCUGAAAAUGGAUGGCGCUCAAGCGUAUUACCCAUACCCCGCCGCC